GUGGGGAAUUUUCCGCAAUGGGCGAAAGCCUGACGGAGCAAUACCGCGUGAGGGAAGAAAGCCUACUGGGUUGUAAACCUCUUUUUUCAGGGAGGAAAAAAAUGACGUGUACCUGAAGAAUAAGCAUCGGCUAACUCCGUGCCAGCAGCCGCGGUAAGACGGAGGAUGCAAGUGUUAUCCGGAAUUACUGGGCGUAAAGCGUCUGUAGGUGGUUUAAUAAGUCAACUGUUAAAUCUUGAGGCUUAACUUCAAAACAGCAGUCGAAACUAUUAGACUAGAGUAUAGUAGGGGUAAAGGGAAUUUCCAGUGGAGCGGUGAAAUGCGUAGAUAUUGGAAAGAACACCGAUGGCGAAAGCACUUUACUGGGCUAUUACUAACACUCAGAGACGAAAGCUAGGGUAGCAAAUGGG
rnacentral:rRNA from 1 species